CCUACGGGAUGCAGCAGUGAGGAAUAUUGGUCAAUGGACGCAAGUCUGAACCAGCCAUGCCGCGUGCGGGAAGACGGCUCUAUGAGUUGUAAACUGCUUUUGUACGAGGGUAAACGCAGAUACGCGUAUCUGUCUGACAGUAUCGUACGAAUAAGGAUCGGCUAACUCAGUGCCAGCAGCCGCGGUAAUACGGAGGAUUCAAGCGUUAUCCGGAUUUAUUGGGUUUAAAGGGUGCGUAGGCGGUCGGAUAAGUUAGAUGUGAAAUCCCGAGGCUCAACUUCGGAAUUGCCUCUGAUACUGUGCGGCUAGAGAGUAGUUGCGGUAGGCGGAAUGUAUGGUGUAGCGGUGAAAUGCUUAGAGAUCAUACAGAACACCGAUUGCGAAGGCAGCUUACCAAGCUACUUCUGACGUUGAGGCACGAAAGCGUGGGGAGCAAACAGGAUUAGAUACCCGGGUAGUC
rnacentral:rRNA from 1 species